GAUGAACGCUGGCGGCGUGCCUAAUACAUGCAAGUCGAGCGAACAGACGAGGAGCUUGCUCCUCUGACGUUAGCGGCGGACGGGUGAGUAACACGUGGAUAACCUACCUAUAAGACUGGGAUAACUUCGGGAAACCGGAGCUAAUACCGGAUGAUAUAUUGAACCGCAUGGUUCAAUAGUGAAAGACGGUUUUGCUGUCACUUAUAGAUGGAUCCGCGCCGCAUUAGCUAGUUGGUAAGGUAACGGCUUACCAAGGCAACGAUGCGUAGCCGACCUGAGAGGGUGAUCGGCCACACUGGAACUGAGACACGGUCCAGACUCCUACGGGAGGCAGCAGUAGGGAAUCUUCCGCAAUGGGCGAAAGCCUGACGGAGCAACGCCGCGUGAGUGAUGAAGGUCUUCGGAUCGUAAAACUCUGUUAUUAGGGAAGAACAAAUGUGUAAGUGACUAUGCACGUCUUGACGGUACCUAAUCAGAAAGCCACGGCUAACUACGUG
rnacentral:rRNA from 1 species